CCAGUGCAGAGCCCCCAGCCUGGCCAGGACCCCCUUCCCGGGCCCCAGCCCCUGCUCCCAGGGCGGGCACCGCUUGGAGGGAAGGCUGCAGAAUGACAACCAUGUUUUGCUCCAUAUCAUCCCAUCUUCCUAGGGAACGGGUCAGGGAAUUGGCUGUGGUGGAUCCAUCUCAGAUGCCGGUGACCUUCGAGGAGGUGGCUGUGUAUUU